ensembl:lncRNA novel transcript, antisense to ARHGAP15
AAUGCCACUACAAAAAGGGUUUGCAGGAGUAGGCCCACUCUCUCUUGUUCUUCUGCCUUCUGACAGGUUCAUUGCUAAGGAAUGGAUUGAAUCAGUACCUAAACCAGCUGACAGCUGCCAUGCUGUAAGAUGGUCCACAAGGCUUUUGGCCAACAACCAAUGAUGGAUUGAGGCCUUCAGUCCAACAACCCACAAGGAACUCAAUCCUGCCAAUGACUAUGUGAACCUGGAAGCAGACCUAUCCUCAGUUGAGCCUCUAGAUGAGAACCCGCCUAUGGCUGACACCUUGAUUUUGCAGCCUUGCAGAGGAUUCAGCUAAGCUGUGCCCAGACUUCUGACCCACAGAAACUGGAUGAAUAAAGAAUGCAUCUUUUGCCAAGUACUGGGUAGAAUUUCCUUGGAGAGACUACAGAAGUGUGAGCAAUUUGGCUCUGUUCAUUACAAACAGUGUCUAUGGCAGACAUAUGAAGACCACAACUCCCUCCUUGAUGGAACAGGACCCUCGCCCCAGAGUGAGAAAACUGACGCUCAGGCAUCGAUUAGGCAGGGAUGACUAUGUAAGUUAUAGUCUCUCUGGGCCUUAAUUUUGUGGUCUAUAAAGGAAAGACAAAGAAUUGAGAAAAUUUUUGCAAAAUAAUUUAUCUUAGUGUCUUUGGUAUACUGAGUGUUUUAGAAGAAGUUUACCAGUUAAUGGUUACGAAAAUUACAAUGUU